rnacentral:sRNA from 1 species
UACUGUCCUGUAUAACCAGUUGAUGAAGUUGCCUGAAAUGGUUUCAGAUCAGGAGAAAGAGACUUGGUCCUCUCGGAUGGUAACCGCGUCAGCGCCUUCUCUGUAGCUAGUACAGCUAUUGCUGCUGCUCAGUGGUCAUCCACCCAGUCUCAAAGUGGUGAAGGAGGCAGUGUUGACUACAGUUAUCUGCAGCCGGGUCAAGAUGGCUAUGCCCAAUAUGCUCAGUAUUCACAGGAUUAUCAGCAGUUUUAUCAACAACAAGCUGGAGGAUUGGAAUCUGAUGCAUCAUCUGCAUCAGGCACAGCAGUGACCACCACCUCAGCGGCUGUGGUGUCCCAGAGUCCUCAGCUGUAUAAUCAAACCUCCAAUCCACCUGGCUCUCCGCAGUACCUGACACGUCCACUUACCAGUAUGAUGAAUCUUCAGGAUAUUACUAUGAUCCGACGACAGGGCUCUAUUAUGACCCCAACUCGCAAUACUACUAUAAUUCCUUAACCCAGCAGUACCUUUACUGGGAUGGGGAAAAAGAGACCUACGUGCCAGCUGCAGAGUCUAGCUCCCACCAGCAGACGGGCCUGCCUCC